UACCUUUUUGACCCGGUUCACCAAUUUCACCCUGUAAUUGAAAGUUAGAAGUUAAAGUUCUUGUUUAGAAUGGUCUCCUUCACACUUAGCUGACUCCAAUAUCACAGUACCUUUAAAUGUUCCGUUUGAUAUGAUUAUUCUGUGUUUUAUGUUGCAAUUUCAACCAUGAAGGCCUAAAGGAGGCAAUUCUGCAUCAAUCAAUAGUGUGUCAUUUUAAUCUGGCUAUUGACUGUUCUACUGCAAAGGCCCCAAAGACCUGGCUUUGAAGUAAGAGUGGUACUCAGGUCUAAACAAAGGAGAUUGUGUUCCUCUUGUCACCCUUGGAGAACCACUUGGACCAGCAGGACCAGGAAGUCCUACAGGACCUUGUACUCCAUCACGUCCAGCUGGACCUUGAGGACCUUUUUCACCCUGGUUUUGAAGAAAAGGAAGUGAUGCACAUUAUCAAAGGAGUUUAAUUAAGCUUUCAGUGCAGGAGCACCCUUCUCCCCUGCAGGGCCUGGAGGACCCUGAGGUCCAGGACGACCUGGUAGACCAAUUGGACCAGCAGUGCCUGCUGCUCCACGUUCUCCUGCACCUGGGAGGCCUUGUUCACCUGGUGGGCCAGGAGGACCUGGAUGACCUCUUUCACCAAUUGGGCCAGUCUCACCAGUAGGACCCUAAGCACAAAGAAAUCUCACUUCACAUUCUUGACUUCUGCUUCAUGAUGACAUCAAGAAUACACACACAAAAAUAGAAGUACAAAAAUAAUCUCAACAUUCAUGUUUCAUGGAACUAUUGUUUUGGUCACACUAUUCUGACUUCAAGAGGUUUACAACAGCAUCACAGUAAAGCUCAUGUACUUACAGUCUCACCCCGCUGUCCUGGAUGUCCAGGCAAGCCAUCUUUACCAGGACCAGCAGCACCUGGGUCCCCAGAUGGACCUGCUCGACCUUUUGGACCUUCUGGACCAUCUUCUCCUCUUGGGCCAGGUUGACCAACUUCUCCCUGAAAUACAACGUUAUAUAAAUGAGCAGCAAUUGACUGUGUGCAUACAUUAGCAAGGCUACCAACAAAUACUUGAAAAUAAUUUUUCAGUAAACAUAAAUGGAGAUUAAGAAAAUGCCACCACUCAUGUUCUUAUAUAAAUACAAAAACAUGUAAACUGAACUGUACUUGUGCAAGGGUUAGAGGCCACUGUCCUUGUCUGAAGAGAGCUGUGUUUUGAAACUGCUUUCCAAUUUCAUAGGAAUUUUAAUGAAUUCCAGUAAUUACUACACAUAUUCUUGUGAAAGCACUCUCAUGGUCCGUAUUAGAAUAAUUUUUGUAUCCAAGAAGUUAAAUAGAUACCAUUAUCACAGUUACUUAAGUAUACAGAUAACAGAUACAGGCCAGUAGCCUUUUGUAAUAAGUUUUUUUUAAAUUGUCUCUGCAACAUUUCCUCUGACAGAAGCAUCUAUUGUGAUAAAGUACAUUUUGGUAGAGAUAAUAUAAGCUACUAUUAGGUUGAAAUGGAAAUAUCCUUGUUCAGAAUAAAUUAUCUUCUUCAGGCAGUAUUGCAUCUUGGUAUCUUGAAAAGGAGACUCCCUAGGAAGUUCAAUGAAAAGGAUAUCAAAGAUUGACACUCGCUUCUUCUUUCUAACUGUGCCAUUGCUGAUUCAUGAGAUCUAGACU